rnacentral:rRNA from 1 species
UACGUAGGGGGCAAGCGUUGUCCGGAUUUAUUGGGCGUAAAGAGCGUGUAGGCGGCCAGAAAAGUCCGCUGUGAAAACUCGAGGCUCAACUUCGAGCUGUCGGUGGAAACUUUCUGGCUAGAGUCCGGAAGAGGAGAAUGGAAUUCCCGGUGUAGCGGUGGAAUGCGUAGAGAUCGGGAAGAACAUCAGUGGCGAAGGCGGUCUGCUGGGCCGUUGCUGACGCUGAGGCGCGACAGCGUGGGGAGCAAACAGG